GACGAACGCUGGCGGCGUGCCUAAUACAUGCAAGUCGAACGCACUCUCGUUUAGAUUGAAGGAGCUUGCUCCUGAUUGAUAAACAUUUGAGUGAGUGGCGGACGGGUGAGUAACACGUGGGUAACCUGCCCUAAAGUGGGGGAUAACAUUUGGAAACAGAUGCUAAUACCGCAUGAAACCUAACACCGCAUGGUGUAGGGUUGAAAGAUGGUUUCGGCUAUCACUUUAGGAUGGACCCGCGGUGCAUUAGUUAGUUGAUGAGGUAAAGGCUCACCAAGACCGUGAUGCAUAGCCGACCUGAGAGGGUAAUCGGCCACACUGGGACUGAGACACGGCCCAGACUCCUACGGGAGGCAGCAGUAGGGAAUCUUCCACAAUGGACGAAAGUCUGAUGGAGCAACGCCGCGUGAGUGAAGAAGGUUUUCGGAUCGUAAAACUCUGUUGUUGGAGAAGAAUGUAUCUGAUAGUAACUGAUCAGGUAGUGACGGUAUCCAACCAGAAAG
rnacentral:rRNA from 1 species